rnacentral:rRNA from 1 species
AGCGAACGCUGGCGGCAGGCUUAACACAUGCAAGUCGAGCGCCCCGCAAGGGGAGCGGCAGACGGGAGAGUAACACGUGGGAACGUACCCUUCAGUUCGGAACAACCCAGGGAAACUUGGGCUAAUACCGAAUACGUCCGUAAGGAGAAAGAUUUAUCGCUGAAGGAUCGGCCCGCGUCUGAUUAGCUAGUUGGUGAGGUAACGGCUCAACAAGGCGACGAUCAGUAGCUGGUCUGAGAGGAUGAUCAGCCUCACUGGGACUGAGACACGGCCCAGACUCCUACGGGAGGCAGCAGUGGGGAAUAUUGGACAAUGGGCGCAAGCCUGAUCCAGCCAUGCCGCGUGGAUGAUGAAGGCCUUAGGGUUGUAAAGUCCUUUUAACGGGGAAGAUAAUGACGGUACCCGUAGAAUAAGCCCCGGCUAACUUCGUGCCAGCAGCCGCAGUAA